GACGAACGCUGGCGGCGUGCUUAACACAUGCAAGUCGAACGGAAAGGCCCUGCUUUUGUGGGGUGCUCGAGUGGCGAACGGGUGAGUAACACGUGAGUAACCUGCCCUUGACUUUGGGAUAACUUCAGGAAACUGGGGCUAAUACCGGAUAGGAUCUCCAGCUGCAUGGUGGGGGUUGGAAAGUUUCGGCGGUUGGGGAUGGACUCGCGGCUUAUCAGCUUGUUGGUGGGGUAGUGGCUUACCAAGGCGUUGACGGGUAGCCGGCCUGAGAGGGUGACCGGCCACAUUGGGACUGAGAUACGGCCCAGACUCCUACGGGAGGCAGCAGUGGGGAAUAUUGCACAAUGGGCGGAAGCCUGAUGCAGCAACGCCGCGUGCGGGAUGACGGCCUUCGGGUUGUAAACCGCUUUCGCCUGUGACGAAGCGUGAGUGACGGUAAUGGGUAAAGAAGCACCGGCUAACUACGUG
rnacentral:rRNA from 1 species